rnacentral:rRNA from 1 species
GACGGAGGGUGCAAGCGUUGUUCGGAAUUACUGGGCGUAAAGCGCGGGCAGGUGGCCUUUUAAGUCCUUUGUGAAAUUCCGGAGCUCAACUCCGGAUGUGCAUAGGAUACUGGAAGGCUAGAGACUGGUAGAGGCGAGCGGAAUUCCUGGUGUAGCGGUGGAAUGCGUAGAUAUCGGGAGGAACACCAGUGGCGAAGGCGGCGACCUGGGCCAAUAUUGACGCUGAGGUGCGAAAGCGUGGGGAGCAAACAGG